rnacentral:lncRNA from 1 species
UCCAAAACUCAGAUUUCAUAAAACAUACAAAUUCCUAAAUUUGAGCUACUAACAUGAUAACCAAAAUAAAAACUAUAUGCUGACAACUCUACGACUUAGGAGGAAAUCCGACGAUUUCGGUAAACAUCAAUCCACCUCGAACGCUCGUCCAACUUCGGCUAGAAGUCGAUAGGAGAAACCUCACGCCAGCUCGACCUCCAACGGCCUCAACCGGACUCAACCACGGCACA